CCAGCACCCCGAGUGGUCGGGACGUUUAUUGGGCCUAAAGCAUCCGUAGCCGGUUCUGCAAGUCUUCCGUUAAAUCCACCUGCUUAACAGAUGGGCCGCGGAAGAUACUAUAGAGCUAGGAGGCGGGAGAGGCAAGCGGUACUCGAUGGGUAGGGGUAAAAUCCGUUGAUCCAUUGAAGACCACCAGUGGCGAAGGCGGCUUGCCAGAACGCGCUCGACGGUGAGGGAUGAAAGCUGGGGGAGCAAACCGGAUUAGAUACCCGGGUAGUCCCAGCUGUAAACGAUGCAGACUCGGUGAUGAAUUGGCUUUAUGCCAAUUCAGUGCCGCAGGGAAGCCGUUAAGUUUGCCGCCUGGGGAGUACGGUCGCAAGACUG
rnacentral:rRNA from 1 species